AUUGCACAAUGGGCGCAAGCCUGAUGCAGCGACGCCGCGUGCGGGAUGACGGCCUUCGGGUUGUAAACCGCUUUUGACUGGGAGCAAGCCCUUCGGGGUGAGUGUACCUUUCGAAUAAGCACCGGCUAACUACGUGCCAGCAGCCGCGGUAAUACGUAGGGUGCGAGCGUUAUCCGGAAUUAUUGGGCGUAAAGGGCUCGUAGGCGGUUCGUCGCGUCCGGUGUGAAAGUCCAUCGCUUAACGGUGGAUCCGCGCCGGGUACGGGCGGGCUUGAGUGCGGUAGGGGAGACUGGAAUUCCCGGUGUAACGGUGGAAUGUGUAGAUAUCGGGAAGAACACCAAUGGCGAAGGCAGGUCUCUGGGCCGUCACUGACGCUGAGGAGCGAAAGCGUGGGGAGCGAACAGGAUUAGAUACCCUGGUAGUCCACGCCGUAAACGGUGGAUGCUGGAUGUGGGGACCAUUCCACGGUCUCCGUGUCGGAGCCAACGCGUUAAGCAUCCCGCCUGGGGAGUACGGCCGCAAGGCUAAAACUCAAAGAAAUUGACGGGGGCCCGCACAAGCGGCGGAGCAUGCGGAUUAAUUCGAUGCAACGCGAAGAACCUUACCUGGGCUUGACAUGUUCCCGACAGCCGUAGAGAUACGGUCUCCCUUCGGGGCGGGUUCACAGGUGGUGCAUGGUCGUCGUCAGCUCGUGUCGUGAGAUGUUGGGUUAAGUCCCGCAACGAGCGCAACCCUCGCCCUGUGUUGCCAGCACGUCGUGGUGGGAACUCACGGGGGACCGCCGGGGUCAACUCGGAGGAAGGUGGGGAUGACGUCAGAUCAUCAUGCCCCUUACGUCCAGGGCUUCACGCAUGCUACAAUGGCCGGUACAACGGGAUGCGACACUGUGAGGUGGAGCGGAUCCCUUAAAACCGGUCUCAGUUCGGAUUGGAGUCUGCAACCCGACUCCAUGAAG
rnacentral:rRNA from 1 species